ensembl:lncRNA
AAUAAGGUACAAAGGUGUACCUUUUGAUAAGGUAUCGUCCAGGGUUGGGGAGUUACUAGUUACAUGUAACAGAAUUAUGUAAUUUAAUUACAAAAUAAAUGUAACUGUAAUCUUACUGAUUACAUUUACUUAUGAAAAUGUUAACGAUUACAAAGGGGGUUACAUCUGAAUAUUUUCACACACAAUCACACACACACACACACACACACACACACACACACACACACACACACACACACACACACACACACACACACACACACACACACACACACACACACACAGACACACACACACACACAGACAGAGAUUUGACUGAUUUCUUUCCCAAAUUGCAUUGACUGCUCUAAAAUAUGAGACACCAAUUUGGUUUUAUGUAUUGAUCAGGGAUUUCUAGUGUGAGGUUAACCCUGCCUGAUUUACAUGUUUGAAAAUGAUUACCAGUUAAAAACAUUCAUUAGAGAUUUAGAAAAGUUAUCAAAAAGUAAUCAAAUG